CCUACGGGGGACAACAGUGGGGAAUAUUGCACAAUGGGGGAAACCCUGAUGCAGCAACGCCGCGUGAAGGAAGACGGUUUUCGGAUUGUAAACUUCUGUUCUUAGUGAAGAAUAAUGACGGUAGCUAAGGAGCAAGCCACGGCUAACUACGUGCCAGCAGCCGCGGUAAUACGUAGGUGGCAAGCGUUGUCCGGAAUUACUGGGUGUAAAGGGAGCGCAGGCGGGAAGCCAAGUCAGCUGUGAAAACUACGGGCUUAACUUGUAGACUGCAGUUGAAACUGGUUUUCUUGAGUGAAGUAGAGGUAGGCGGAAUUCCUAGUGUAGCGGUGAAAUGCGUAGAUAUUAGGAGGAACACCAGUGGCGAAGGCGGCCUACUGGACGGUGACUGACGCUGAGGCUCGAAAGCGUGGGGAGCAAACAGGAUUAGAUACCCCUGUAGUC
rnacentral:rRNA from 1 species